rnacentral:rRNA from 1 species
GAGGGCAUGCCUGUUCGAGCGUCAUUUCAACCCUCAAGCAUUGCUUGGUGUUGGGGCACUGCUUCUAACGAAGCAGGCCCUGAAAUCUAGUGGCGAGCUCGCCAGGACCCCGAGCGUAGUAGUUAAACCCUCGCUCUGGAAGGCCCUGGCGGUGCCCUGCCGUUAAACCCCCAACUUUUGAAAAUUUGACCUCGGAUCAGGUAGGAAUACCCGCUGAACUUAAGCAUAUCAAUAAGCGGAGGAAAAGAAACCAACAGGGAUUGCCCUAGUAACGGCGAGUGAAGCGGCAACAGCUCAAAUUUGAAAUCUGGCCUCGGCCCGAGUUGUAAUUUGCAGAGGAUGCUUCUGGCGCGGUGCCUUCCGAGUUCCCUGGAACGGGACGCCACAGAGGGUGAGAGCCCCGUAUGGUCGGACACCAAGCCUGUGUGAAGCUCCUUCGACGAGUCGAGUAGUUUGGGAAUGCUGCUCUAAAUGGGAGGUAAAUCUCUUCUAAAGCUAAAUACCGGCCAGAGACCGAUAGCGCACAAGUAGAGUGAUCGAAAGAUGAAAAGCACCUUGAAAAGGGGGUUAAAUAGUACGUGAAAUUGUUGAAAGGGAAGCACUUGUGACCAGACUUGGGCCGGGCGGCUCAUCAGGGGUUCUCCCCUGUGCACUCCGCCCGGCACAGGCCAGCAUCGGUUCUCGUGGGGGGAUAAGACCGUCAGGAACGUAGCACCCUCCGGGGUGUGUUAUAGCCUGGCGGACGAUACCCCCCGUGGGGACCGAGGU